rnacentral:rRNA from 1 species
GAUGAACGCUAGCGGCGGGCCUAAUACAUGCAAGUCGAACGGAGUGGAGCAGCAAUGCUUCACUUAGUGGCGCACGGGUGCGUAACGCGUAUGCAACCUACCUUUUAUUGGGGGAUAGCCCGAAGAAAUUCGGAUUAAUACCGCAUAAUAUCAUUUGAGGGCAUCUGAGGAUGAUGAAAGCUUUGGCGAUAAAAGAUGGGCACGCGUGUCAUUAGCUAGUUGGUCGAGGUAACGGCUCACCAAGGCGACGAUGACUAGGGGUUCUGAGAGGAUGAUCCCCCACACUGGUACUGAGAUACGGACCAGACUCCUACGGGAGGCAGCAGUAGGGAAUAUUGGGCAAUGGCGGAAACGCUGACCCAGCCAUGCCGCGUGCCGGAUGAAGGCCUUCUGGGUUGUAAACGGCUUUUACCAGGGAAGAACCUACCUUUGCGAAGGGAACUGACGGUACCUGGUGAAUAAGCACCGGCUAACUCCGUGCCAGCCGCCGCAGUAACAC